rnacentral:rRNA from 1 species
UAGUACGGCGAGUGAAGAGGGAAGAGCCCAAGAUUGAAAGCUGGCGUCUUCGGCGUCCGCAUUGUAAUCUCAAGAAGUGUUUUCCGCUUCGGACCAUGCCUAAGUCCCUUGGAAAAGGGCAUCAUAGAGGGUGAUAAUCCCGUACAUGGCAUGGAGCGCCCGUAGCUUUGUGAUACGCUUUCUAAGAGUCGAGUUGUUUGGGAAUGCAGCUCAAAAUGGGUGGUAAAUGCCAUCUAAGGCUAAAUAUUGGGGAGAGACCGAUAGCGAACAAGUACAGUGAUGGAAAGAUGAAAAGAACUUUGAAAAGAGAGUUAAACAGUACGUGAAAUUGCCAAAAGGGAAGGGUAGGAGGUCAGAGAUGCGUCUUGGGAUUCAGCCUUGCUUUUGCCUGGUGUUUUUCCCAAGCUGCAGGCCAACGUCGGUUUUGGGCACUGGAGAAGGGUAGGAGGAACGUGGCACCUCUCGGGGUGUGUUAUAGCCUCCUACUGGAUACAGCGACCGAGACCGAGGAACGCAGCGUACUCGUAAGAGCGGGCCUUUUGGCACCUUUACGCUUAGGGCGUUGGCAUAAUGGCCCUCUACCACCCGUCUUG